GUACACUCCUGCGGGAGGCAGCAGUGGGGAAUUUUGGACAAUGGGCGAAAGCCUGAUCCAGCAAUGCCGCGUGAGUGAAGAAGGCCUUCGGGUUGUAAAGCUCUUUUGUCAGGGAAGAAACGGUGAAAGCUAAUAUCUUUUGCUAAUGACGGUACCUGAAGAAUAAGCACCGGCUAACUACGUGCCAGCAGCCGCGGUAAUACGUAGGGUGCAAGCGUUAAUCGGAAUUACUGGGCGUAAAGCGUGCGCAGGCGGUUUUGUAAGUCUGAUGUGAAAUCCCCGGGCUCAACCUGGGAAUUGCAUUGGAGACUGCAAGGCUAGAAUCUGGCAGAGGGGGGUAGAAUUCCACGUGUAGCAGUGAAAUGCGUAGAUAUGUGGAGGAACACCGAUGGCGAAGGCAGCCCCCUGGGUCAAGAUUGACGCUCAUGCACGAAAGCGUGGGGAGCAAACAGGAUUAGAAACCCGUGUAGUCCC
rnacentral:rRNA from 1 species